rnacentral:rRNA from 1 species
GGUGAACGCUGGCGGCGUGCUUAAGACAUGCCAGUCGAACGAUCGUCUUCGGACGUUAGUGUCGCACGGGUGAGUAACGCGUAACUGACCUGCCCCCAAGUUCCUAAUAACCCUCCGAAAGUAGGCCUAAUACGGGAUGUGCUGUCCCCUCCUGUGCGUCCAGUAAAGGCUUGACCUCUUGGGGGUGGGGUUGCGUUCCAUCAGCUAGUUGGUGGGGUAAAGGCCUACCAUGGCAACGACGGAUAACCGGCCUGCGAGGGUGGCCGGUCACAGGGGCACCGGGACACGGGUCACACCCCAACGGGAGGCAGCAGUUAGGAAUCUUGAACAAUGGACGAAAGGCUGAGGGAGCGACGCGGCGUGAGGGAUGAAGGUUUUCGGAUUGUAAACCUCUGAAUCAGGGACGAAAGGCGCGGAAGAGGGAGGACGGUACCGGAGUAAUAGCACCGGCUAACUACGUG